GUUGCCUUUCUUUGCCAGAGUGAUGAUUAGUGACUGUGUCUACGUGGAGGGCCACUCACCAGUCUGCCAGAUCUUGUUGCAGAUCUUGCCUGCAGUUGAACACAUACUCGUAUCUGCAUCUUUAUUAAAGAGACAAAGUAAUCUCCUGUAGCUGAUGCUGCAUUUCCCAUGUUAUUCACCUACACAAUCCAAAGUCGUCGGGAUAGUUUAUAUAUCAGGAUCAAUAAGAAAA